UGAGGAGUAGAUGGUAGACCAGUUGGUUGUUUUCCUUCUCUAUCCUGAAGUCCAUUUGUGUCGGACACAGAGUCUGCUGCUUUGAUUAAGUUAUUGCUACUAAUAAAGUGAGAGUCCCCAGCAGGAGUUUGAAUGAACAAGCCACAUGAGGCACAUGUGGAGGAUAUCACUAAACCUGAAGCUUAUCAAUUCAGCCCACCUGGACUGCAUGGCCAACAAACCCCAGGAAUCUUCAUGUCUCUGCUUCUCCAGUGAGGGGAUUACAGGCUUUUCUUGCCAUGUCCAGAUUUUACAUGGAUGCUAAGAAAUCAAACCUGUGGCCUCAUGCUUCCACAGCAAGCACUGUGACCAUUGAGCCAUCUCCUCAGGUCUCAUUUCCUAUUGCCAACAUACAUGGACAAAUUAUUGCUCCUUUCUUUUAAAAUAGACUUGUCCUUGCUUAUAUGAGUCAUAUUCUUAAUAUUGUUACUCCCACUUUACAGAUGAGAAUUCGGAAAAAGAUUUCAGACAACACAAGACUUGUCUGCUCACAAAGCAACAGAGUAGUGUGAUUUGAGCUCUUGUCUAAUCAGAUGCCCCAAGAAUCCCUUACCCUACUCAAAGAAAUAGGUUCUUUUUCUCAUCUGGGCUGACAAUGCUUCCUCAAAAAUCACCCGAUAAAAACCCAACACCAGGCAUGAGGAGAAAUUGUUGACCAGGUUUGUCUAAAAUACUCUCUCCUUACAGACUAUUGCUAUUACCCCUUAGAGGUUAAAGGUAAGUCCCUAUUUCUGGAGACACCAUGCUCUUCAGAACUGACCUGAAUGCCUCCUCUCUGAGGUCUAGCUAUCUUGGUACCAGAAGAAACAUUGCAAGAUUCCAAAGAAGGCAACCAAUCAACAGUCCUACCCAGCAGUGAUACCUAUGAACCAUGAACCAUAACAGUGAUUGACUGUUUCCUAACAUGACUGCCUAAUUAUAAGUUGGACAAAGACAACAAUAGGGAUGCCCAAGUGGACGAGAGAAGGACCAUGAGGCCUCAGACCUACACAAAGAACUAGAGGUAACUAAGGAAUUCUGGGAGUGGGAUAAAUAGUCUGCUCCAGGGAAGAGCAAUUGGUUAGCUGGAACUAAAUUGCCAGCCAUGGAAGCAUACAUAUAAGCAACAUUAUACUGAAUGAGCAGGCUAUAUAUAGGAAUAUGUAUGUAGAAUAUAUAUGUGUGUAUGUGUAUGUAUCUGUGUAUAAACAUAUGCAUGUAGCAACAAUUGCUGGAGGGGGGGAAGACCAUGAAUUUGAAAGAGAGCAGUAAGGGAUAUCUGGGAGGGUUUGGAGGCAGGAAAGAGAAGCAGAAAAUGAUGUAAUUAUAAUCUCAGAAGUAAAAGAAAAAUGAAUACUUUCUUAAAGCUGUGAUAAGCAUGAGAAAUUACCUUCCUCCAGGCAUAAGGUAUUUGUGGUUGACCUUUUGAGCGACACUGUGAGGGCUGCCUGUGGGGUUGUAUAAGACAGCUAUGCACUUUUCCAGGCAACCUUGGGAACAGUUUGAUGGCACCUUGUUAUCUGGGAGUGGAGGAUGAAAGCUCUUUGACCUUUCUGAGAGGCCCAAAACCUAGCACCGUAGUAAAUCUUAUAAGAAUCCAGAAAGGGGGGAUUUGAUGACUGUGGGGAAGGUACAAGCCUGAAUAGGUGUCUUGUACAUUUUAGACUUCUGGCACUUGGGAACCACGCCAAUCAGGGAGGUCUUGGGUCCUGUCAAAGGCACACAUGGACAGUGACAGGUCUUGCACUCCAUGAGAAGUUUGACAUUUUAAAGAUCUCUUGGUACUGAUUUAUUUGUCAGAAAAGCAAGUCUGGGAACUGUUUAUCGUGCAUGUGAGUAUAUGUGUAUGUUUAAUACCAAGAAAGGUAUACAUAGUUGUUUCCCCAAAAAGAAAAGAACCCAAAGGUCAAAGAUGGAACAGAUUUGGCCCAAACAUUCCAAAAAUAAACAAGUGAAGAGUGCCAGAGGGGAAAAUGACCUCGGAUUUGCAGCCAUGUACAAAAUGCUUAAAAAUAGAGAUGCUGUAACAUUUACCCAGCAAGUGCCAACUUUAUAGCCAAAUGCAUGUGUAACUUAAGAUCAAUUAGGAUGUCUGAUUGUGUUUAAGUCAGUUUUUUUAUAUGGUGGAAUGUAGUCAUAUCUUAACAUCAAGAAGUUGGAAAGUUCUGACACUAUUAUUUUCACUAACACAGUCACACUUUCAACAUGUUCACUAAACCGUUUAUGAAAUAA